GAUAGGAUAUUAUAAUGUAAAGAUGAGUAUGAAACUACGAUUAGCCCAAUAGUUGAGCUAGAUUUCUUUGUUUGAACUUUUUUGUUACGAGGACGUUCAUGUACAGAGGGACCAUUCUCUGAAAGCAGAAGCAGAGAGAGAGAUAAGGAAGUCGUGUAUAAAUAUAUAAAUGCAGUUUCUAAAAGACGGUCUUACAUAUCACGUCCAAGCCAUAAAAGCCAGUUUUGAGCUAACCAUUUUCACCUCCAAUCAACUCAUUCACUUGUACUCCAAGCAUGGCCUUAUUCGAGAAGCCCAGAAACUGUUCGACGAAAUGCCCCAACGAAACGUCUUCUCUUGGAAUGCCAUAAUCUCCGCCCACAUCAAGGCACGCAACUUGAACCGGGCACGCCAGUUAUUUGACGCUGCCUCUUACAGGGAUUUGGUCACGUAUAAUUCCAUGUUGUCUGGUUAUGUAAGCGCCGACGGGUAUGAGGAUUGUGCGCUUGAGCUGUUUCGCGAAAUGAAGUCACGGGAUGAUCGGAUUCGGAUUGACGAGAUUGGUCUCACGACUAUGCUGAACUUGACUGCCAAAUUGGAAAUUGGGUAUUAUGGGAGACAGUUGCAUUGUUUUAUGGUGAAAACUGCUAAUGAUUUAAGUGGGUUCGCAGUGAGCUCGCUUAUCGAUAUGUAUAGUAAAUGUGGGUGUUUUCAAGAAGCGUUGCGGAUGUUUAGUGGGUAUAGAGGGGUGGUUGAUUUGGUUUCGAAAAAUGCAAUGGUGGCGGCUUGUUGUAGAGAAGGCAAAUUAGAAAUGGCAGAUGAUCUGUUUUGGACAGAGCCAGAGCUGAAUGAUGCUGUGUCUUGGAAUACACUGAUUGCAGGGUAUGUGCAGCAUGGUUUUGAGCAAGAGGCACUGAAAUUGUUUGUCUGUAUGGCAGAUAAUGGAUUCAGAUGGAAUGACCACACUUUUGCUAGUGCUUUGAGUGCUUGCUCCGGUUUGAAGAGCUCCAAACUUGGAAAGGAAAUCCAUGCUUGGGUCUUGAAGAAUGGGAUGACAUCAAAUCCGUAUAUAGUCAGUGGCAUUGUUGAUGUCUACUCCAAGUGUGGUAAUAUGUGUUAUGCAAAGUCAGUUCACGUAGCAACGGGGUCAGAAAAUUCCUUUUCGGUAAGUUCAAUGAUUACUGGUCAUGCUUCUCAUGGUAACCUAAUGGAAGCACGAAAACUUUUUGACUCAUUGACUGAAAAAAACGCUGUUGUUUGGACAGCUUUGUUUUCUGGGUAUCUCAAAUACCAGAAAUGCGAAGCUAUAUUUGAACUUUUAGGUGAGUUCACGGCAAAGGAAUCAAUAGUUCCUGAUGCUGGGAUUCUCAUCAGUGUGCUUGGUGCCUGUUCAAUACAAGCAGCCCUGGAUCCUGGGAAGCAGAUCCAUGCUUACAUUCUAAGGAACGGGAUUGAAAUCGAUAAGAAGCUUUUUAGUGCUUUGGUUGAUAUGUACUCGAAAUCCGGGAGUAUAAACUACGCAGAAAAACUUUUUAAAAGCGACUAUGACAGAGAUAUAAUCCUGUACAAUGUGAUGUUAGCUGGUUAUGCUCACCAUGGGCAUGAAAAUAAAGCUAUCCAGAUUUUCAAUGAAAUGUUGGAGAAAGGUAUGGGACCCGAUGCAAUCACCUUUUUAGCACUGCUGUCAGCUUGUCGACACUCUUGCUUGGUGGAAUUGGGUGAGCAGUUCUUCUACUUGAUGGAAAAAGUGUAUAAUGUUUUACCCGAAAUUGAGCACUACGCUUGCAUGAUUGAUUUGUACGGGAGGGCUAAUCAACUUGAUAAGGCAAUAGCAUUCAUGAGAAAGAUCCCUAUAGAAUCAGACACCAUUUUAUGGGGGGCAUUCAUGAAUGCUUGUAGGGUAAACGGGAACGCCGUACUUGCUAGAGAGGCAGAGGAGAAACUAUUAAAACUUGAAGGAGACAUUGGUGAUCGGUAUGUACAGUUGGUUAAUUUCUAUGCAGCGGAAGGAGAUUGGGAUGAGGUUUGCAGAAUAAGGAAGAAGAUGAAAGGGAAGGAGGCCAAGAAGACCGCUGGUUGCAGUUGGUUAUACGUGGAAAAUGGUGUUCAUAUAUUUAUCUCUGGUGAUAAAGCCCACCCAAGAGCAGAGGCUAUAAAUUGUACAUUAGCCUUAUUGACUGAAGAACUGUAUCAGAUAUCUCGGGCCUCCGCUGGGAUCAUAAUUUGAAUGUCAUCGUCUCAACACAACUAAUUAUGAUGUUCAGAACAUUCAGUCACUAAAUCAGAUAUAGGACUGGUAUUUCCAUGCCGUCCGCAUUCAUUCAUUUCAGGAGAAUAAUGCAUUUAUUGGUCAAGUGCCUGGGUACAGACUCCAGAGUACCAUUAGUGGAUGCCAAUUAGCGCAUAUGAAUUGAAUUUGGCAAUGGAAUGACAAUGGUAUUAUUGUUCCUUCAUCUUGGUGGAAAUGCUUGAAGAGUGAUGACUGAGAGCAAUUCUAUAACAUGGAAAAAUCCAAUGCGGCAGAAAAAUUUACGAUGGCGUGGUGGGAAUAACCCCAUUCACACCCUAAGGAGACACUGACAAGCUAUCUUCCUUCUGUAGACGCUGGGGACAUUCACAACUGAUUGGAAGGAGCAGGUAAUGCUUUCUUGUGUCGUUUACUUGUUCUCUUUGUAGGCAUGGUCUUCUGUUCAUGAGAAUAUCAAUGUUGUUUAUUUUCCAACUGUAAAGUUCCAAUCCGCCUUCCCCGUUAAUUCAAGAAAGUAAAAACGUAACACUUUGGACAAUACAAGUAAAUAAUUUAUUCUGUAAAACCGUGGAAUUGUGAAUUUACAAGUUGAAUCGGUUUAAAUUGUUGUCAAUCAGAUGGAAAUUUUCAGUCGAGAAACCUUGUCAAUCUUUGUUUCUGCUAUGUCGUUACAUCAGAGUUGUCAAGACCAAGGGGACAUCAUUUCUUUAACAAAUAGUAAUUGUAAAUGCUGAUGUAUUUAAAGAUGAUAGCUAGCUCCCAUCUCUUCACUUCACUACAACCAAACUCUGAUACUCCUAAACCGCGAUGGCUGCUUUCAUGGCGUCCUUCGGGAGAAGAUCCGCGUCAUGUUCCAAGAAUAACUAAAGCAAAUUGUAGCUGAAGCCACCCAACAAUUUGCGCCCUUGUUUUGUUGAAGACACCAACGUUGCUGGAUUCCUCAGCUCCCAAAACGGAACUUCUGGCACCACAUCGCUGUUGCCGUUGUCCUCAAACUUUCUCUGUAUUGCCGCAUUACUGUGCCUCCAGAAGAAAUCAGUGCGGUUCUCCUUGACCUCAGAUUUGUUGGAAAUAUGCUCUGAAACUCAAUCAUAAGUUGACAUCUUUCAGGAAAACGAAAAAUGCAGAAAACGAAAAACGCAGAACAAAAAUUUAGCUUAAAUUCUGUUGAACAUCAAAUUGAUAUUUCCUUUGUUUUUCAAACCAAUUUGCAAAAUAAUUAAAAAUAAAAUUUGUAUGUCACCACUACCGUCACCAUCGUUGCCACCACCGCCACAAGAUUCUCUACCGUUUCAUCAUCCUUGCCACCGCCACCAUCUUUGACACUACCACUUCACCUUCAUGACCAUUCCUCCGCCUCCCUCACCCUUGACACCAUGGCUAUCACCACCUCCAUCGACUCACCAUUGCUACAACCAACACCACCGUCACCAUUUCACCAUGACCACGAUCACCUGCAUCUCGGCCUCUACCAUUGUCCCCACCACUACCAUCGUAUAUCCAUCACCAUCACCCUGCCACCACCACUAAUAUCAAACUGAGAAUAAUUUGGACUAAAAAUAGACUGUUGGGCCUGUCCAAGGCUCAACACACCGAAUUAUGUCUGAAGCUUAAUGGGUAAUUAAUUUAUGCAGAAGAUCAACGGUGCACGAUCCAAAAUUUAAAAAUGCUUUAUGACGUGGCAAUUGUAGGUGGCAAAAAGUCUCUUUCACACAAAGGGAAUAUUGCUUAGUCAAGUUUCAUAGAGAAAAAGUACUUUCCAGUCGCAAGUUCGUAGUUUCAACGGGAUAAAAGCUCAAGUAUCCAAGUGAAAACUCACCCUCUGAUAGCAAUCACAUUAGCCACUUGGAUCAAGGAGAAUGAACUCAAAGGAGAAACGUUUACUCUAGAAGAAAGAGGUGUUUCUAGAAAAGGCAAUAGAAAUGAAGAAGAAAAUGAUACACAAUUCAACAUACAAAAAAUUUCAAAUCUUUGCAGCCUACUUCCUCAUUAUAUUU